rnacentral:rRNA from 1 species
UUUUUUAAGUUUUAUCUCUGCUCAGGACGAACGCUGGCGGCGUGCCUAAUACAUGCAAGUCGAGCGGACAGAAGGGAGCUUGCUCCCGGAUGUUAGCGGCGGACGGGUGAGUAACACGUGGGUAACCUGCCUGUAAGACUGGGAUAACUCCGGGAAACCGGAGCUAAUACCGGAUAGUUCCUUGAACCGCAUGGUUCAAGGAUGAAAGACGGUUUCGGCUGUCACUUACAGAUGGACCCGCGGCGCAUUAGCUAGUUGGUGAGGUAACGGCUCACCAAGGCGACGAUGCGUAGCCGACCUGAGAGGGUGAUCGGCCACACUGGGACUGAGACACGGCCCAGACUCCUACGGGAGGCAGCAGUAGGGAAUCUUCCGCAAUGGACGAAAGUCUGACGGAGCAACGCCGCGUGAGUGAUGAAGGUUUUCGGAUCGUAAAGCUCUGUUGUUAGGGAAGAACAAGUGCAAGAGUAACUGCUUGCACCUUGACGGUACCUAACCAGAAAGCCACGGCUAACUACGUGCCAGCAGCCGCGGUAAUACGUAGGUGGCAAGCGUUGUCCGGAAUUAUUGGGCGUAAAGGGCUCGCAGGCGGUUUCUUAAGUCUGAUGUGAAAGCCCCCGGCUCAACCGGGGAGGGUCAUUGGAAACUGGGAAACUUGAGUGCAGAAGAGGAGAGUGGAAUUCCACGUGUAGCGGUGAAAUGCGUAGAGAUGUGGAGGAACACCAGUGGCGAAGGCGACUCUCUGGUCUGUAACUGACGCUGAGGAGCGAAAGCGUGGGGAGCGAACAGGAUUAGAUACCCUGGUAGUCCACGCCGUACACGAUGAGUGCUAAGUGUUAGGGGGUUUCCGCCCCUUAGUGCUGCAGCUAACGCAUUAAGCAUUCCGCCUGGGGAGUACGGUCCGCAAGACUGAAACUCAAAGGAAUUGACGGGGGCCCGCACAAGCGGUGGAGCAUGUGGUUUAAUUCGAAGCAACGCGAAGAACCUUACCAGGUCUUGACAUCCUCUGACAACCCUAGAGAUAGGGCUUUCCCUUCGGGGACAGAGUGACAGGUGGUGCAUGGUUGUCGUCAGCUCGUGUCGUGAGAUGUUGGGUUAAGUCCCGCAACGAGCGCAACCCUUGAUCUUAGUUGCCAGCAUUCAGUUGGGCACUCUAAGGUGACUGCCGGUGACAAACCGGAGGAAGGUGGGGAUGACGUCAAAUCAUCAUGCCCCUUAUGACCUGGGCUACACACGUGCUACAAUGGACAGAACAAAGGGCUGCGAGACCGCAAGGUUUAGCCAAUCCCACAAAUCUGUUCUCAGUUCGGAUCGCAGUCUGCAACUCGACUGCGUGAAGCUGGAAUCGCUAGUAAUCGCGGAUCAGCAUGCCGCGGUGAAUACGUUCCCGGGCCUUGUACACACCGCCCGUCACACCACGAGAGUUUGCAACACCCGAAGUCGGUGAGGUAACCUUUAUGGAGCCAGCCGCCGAAGGUGGGGCAGAUGAUUGGGGUGAAGUCGUAACAAGGGUAACCGAAAAAA